rnacentral:rRNA from 1 species
AGCGAACGCUGGCGGCAGGCUUAACACAUGCAAGUCGAGCGGGCAUCCUUGUGGUGUCAGCGGCAGACGGGUGAGUAACGCGUGGGAACGUGCCCUUCGGUUCGGAAUAACUCAGGGAAACUUGAGCUAAUACCGGAUACGUGCGAGAGCAGACAGGUGUAUCUGCCGAAGGAUCGGCCCGCGUCUGAUUAGCUAGUUGGUGAGGUUAUGGCUCACCAAGGCGACGAUCAGUAGCUGGUCUGAGAGGAUGAUCAGCCACACUGGGACUGAGACACGGCCCAGACUCCGACGGGGGGCUGCAGUAGGGAGUAUUAGGCGAUGAGGGCAACCCUAGUCCAGCCAUGCCGCGUGAGUGGUGACGGCCUUAGGAUUGUAAAGCUCUUUUCGCCGGGACGAUAGUGACGGUACCGGAGGAAUAAGCCCCGGCUAACUUCGUG